AGGUCAAGUUAGAAAGAGCAUCAGGUGGAUGCCUUGGCACCAAGAGCCGAAGAAGGACGUGAUAAGCUGCGAAAAGCAACGGGGAGUCGCAAAUAGACGUGAAUCCGUUGAUGUCCGAAUGGGGAAACCCGUAUGAGCAAACCUCAUACAUCCAUGCAUGAAUCCAUAGUGUAUGGAAGGAAGACCGGGGGAACUGAAACAUCUAAGUACCCCGAGGAAAAGAAAGAAACCUCGAUUUCCCAAGUAGCGGCGAGCGAACGGGAAAGAGCCCAGGAGCGUAACGACUGAUUGUGUAUAGUAGAAGGAUAUGGGAAGAUCCGCCAAAGAGGGUAACAGCCCCGUACACGAAAUGCACAAUGAGCGAACUCCGAAGAGUACCACGAGACACGUGAAACCUUGUGGGAAGAUAGGGGGACCACCCCCUAAGGCUAAAUACUCCUUGGUGACCGAUAGCGCAUAGUACCGUGAGGGAACGGUGAAAAGAACCCCGGGAGGGGAGUGAAAUAGAAUCUGAAACCUGAUGUUUACAAGCAGAUAAAGUGGCUUUAGGCCACAAUAUCGUACUUUUUGUAGAACGGGCCAGCGAGUUAUGAUUUCAAGCAAGGUUAAGAAGAAAAACUUUGGAGCCGCAGGGAAACCGAGUCUGAAUAGGGCGAAGAGUUUGAAGUUGUAGACCCGAAACCGUGUGAUCUAUCCAUGGGCAGAGUGAAGUGUUGGUAAAACGACAUGGAGGCUCGAACCGGGUAACGUUUAAAAGUUAUCGGAUGACCUGUGGAUAGGGGUGAAAAGCCAAUCGAACACGGAGAUAGCUGGUUCUCCUCGAAAUAGCUUUAGGGCUAGCCUGUAGGAAAAACUGUUUGGGGGGUAGAGCACUGAAUCGCCAAGGGACAUGUGAUGUUACCGCGGCCUAUCAAACUCCGAAUACCCAAACAAAGCCUAUGGAGUCAGACAGUGAGGGAUGAGCUUCAUUGUCGAAAGGGAAAGAGCCCAGACCACCGACUAAGGUCCCAAAAUACUAUUUAAGUGGGAAAGGAUGUGGAGUUACUCAGACAACUAGGAUGUUGGCUUAGAAGCAGCCAUCCAUUGAAAGAGUGCGUAAUAGCUCACUAGUCAAGUGACUCUGCGCCGAAGAUAACCGGGGCUAAAAUAGAUACCGAAGUCGUGGAACGUAUAACGUUGGUAGAGGAGCAUUGUAUAGACGACGAAGCAAAAGGCGUAAGCCAUUGUGGAGCCUAUACAAGAGAGAAUGCUGGCAUGAGUAGCGAGAGGUGAGUGAGAAUCUCACCCGUCGAAAACCCAAGGAUUCCUGAGGAAGGCUCGUCCACUCAGGGUAAGUCGGGACCUAAGGCGAGGCUGAAAAGCGUAGUCGAUGGACAACAGGUGGAAAUUCCUGUACCGAUGGUAUUGCUGAUGAUGGAGUGACGCAGGAGGGGAAAUAGAGCGCCCAGUUGGUGAGGCGUGCAAGCACAAAGGCAAGAAGAUAGGCAAAUCCGUCUUCUGAAGAUGCUGAAGUGUGAUGCGGAUUGAAAACAAGUAGAGAAGUCUAAACGAACCAAACUGCCAAGAAAAGCUUCUAAGAGAUACCAUUGCCCGUACCGCAAACCGACACAGGUAGGUGAGGAGAGAAUCCUAAGACGAGCGGAAGAACCUUUGUUAAGGAACUCGGCAAAAUGACCCCGUAACUUCGGGAGAAGGGGAGCCCCUGUAAAAGGGGGCCGCAGUGAAAAGGCCCAAGCGACUGUUUACCAAAAACACAAGUAUCUGCGAAGUCGAAAGACGAAGUAUAGGUGCUGACACCUGCCCGGUGCUGGAAGGUUAAGGGGACGAGUUAGCGCAAGCGAAGCUCCGAGCUGAAGCCCCAGUAAACGGCGGCCGUAACUAUAACGGUCCUAAGGUAGCGAAAUUCCUUGUCGGGUAAGUUCCGACCCGCACGAAAGGUGUAACGAUUUGGGCACUGUCUCAACAAAGGAUCCGGUGAAAUUGUAGUAGCGGUAAAGAUGCCGCUUACCCACGACAGGACGGAAAGACCCCGUGGAGCUUUACUGUAGGUUGACAUUGGAUUUUGGGAUAAACUGUACAGGAUAGGUGGGAGGCAGAGAACCAUGUACGCCAGUAUAUGGGGAGCCAAUGGUGGGAUACCACUCUUUUUAUCUUAGAAUUCUAACCGACUUCCGUGAAACCGGAAGCGGGACACUGUCAGUCGGGCAGUUUGACUGGGGCGGUCGCCUCCGAAAGAGUAACGGAGGCGUUCAAAGGUUCCCUCAGCACGGACGGAAAUCGUGCGAAGAGUGCAAAGGCAGAAGGGAGCUUAACUGCGAGAGCGACAACUCGAGCAGAUGCGAAAGCAGGACUUAGUGAUCCGGUGGUACCGCGUGGAAGGGCCAUCGCUCAACGGAUAAAAGCUACCCCGGGGAUAACAGGCUUAUCUCCCCCAAGAGUCCACAUCGACGGGGAGGUUUGGCACCUCGAUGUCGGCUCGUCUCAUCCUGGGGCUGAAGUAGGUCCCAAGGGUUGGGCUGUUCGCCCAUUAAAGAGGCACGCGAGCUGGGUUCAGAACGUCGCGAGACAGUUCGGUCCCUAUCCGUCGUGGGCGCAGGAAAUUUGAGAGGAGCUAUCCUUAGUACGAGAGGACCGGGAUGGACAAACCACUGGUGCAUCAGUUGUACUGCCAAGUGCACAGCUGAGUAGCUACGUUUGGACUGGAUAAGAGCUGAAGGCAUCUAAGCACGAAGCCAACCUCGAGAUAAGAUUUCCCAUCGAAAGAAUAAGGCCCCUUGAAGAAAAUGAGGUAGAUAGGCUUCAGGUGGAAGCACAGCAAUGUGUGGAGCUAAGAAGUACUAAUCGGCCGAAGACUUGACCAAA
rnacentral:rRNA from 1 species